UGUGUAUAAUAUGAGGCACACUACAGGAAUGUUCCAGUCAGGACUCCCAGCGGCUGGACAGGAAGUGUGUGGAGUCGUUACAGGAAGUGUGUACCAGGAGGGCCAAGCACGGGUGGGGCCUAACGAGCAGCGUGUUUUCCUGACACGGAGUUCUGCCAGUUCCCCCUCCAUUUGUUUCUCCUGCAGCCUGCUCUCCUGCAUGCGCUCUCAGAUGCCACCUACCCUUCACACUCUGCAACCUUCUCUAAUGAUGAUAGCCGUAGAGAGGGGAACGGCGUGACACUCCAAAGGGGGCAAAGGAGGUCUGACGUACAUUAGAGCCGGCCAUUCUGAAAUGAAAGCCACACUCGUCAGCCAACGGGAUGUGGGAGCAUUCUAGCUAGAGUGCAAAAGACAUGGACAGGCAUCAGGACAGCAUCUUACAUCAUUUCGCGCACGACAAAAGCACAGCCUCUGUGAAUGCUGUCUCGACUCUGGAAUGCACAAGUUUAAAAUGGUGAGUUUUCAUGACAAGUUCAUGUGAAUGCAGAGGACCACUGCUGUCAUAAAUGCUUGGCUAAGCACAGACUUUGAACAUCACCUCCUCCUGUGCUGUUAUUCGCUCCCACGUCUGCUCACUUUUAUCUGCCUUUCUUUUCUGUGGUCGGCCUGCUGGAGAACAUGUCUCUCAGCACAGGAAUCUUCCCGUCCGUUUGAAGUGCUGAGCUGUGUGAGAGGCAGACAGUUGGAGUCAUUGUGCAGCUCCACCACACCCUUAAGCCCCCCCAACAUGCUUCCAAAUACACCUGCAUAGGACAUAGAGCAAGGGGGACUUUCAUCCCACAAAGCGGCAUGAGAGGCAUCCACUGUGAGAUGAGUAAAAGACUCCUGACCUCUUGUGGUGGCUGGAGACAAGGCAGGGAACAACCCAGGAUGGAGCACCAACCCUUCUGCAGAGCCCCAGUAUCUAUAUUUAAUGUACAUAAAAUGACUAUCUGUAUUUCUUCCUUUUGUGUGUGUGUGCUUGUGCAUGUCUGCUUGCAGAUUAGUGUAGAGACAUCAGCCUGUAUCACAGCUAGGAACCCCUUUGAUAUGAGGAUUAGAUUCUGCCUCAUCCACAUACUCCCUCCUUCAUUUCUGUUUUCUUGUACUUUCGUCUGUUCUUGCCUCUCGUAAUGGAGAUGGGUGACAGCUGAACAUGGGAUUAGGCAGCAGCACGCAGCAUACACUGUGUUUCGUUUCUUCAGAUCCACACUCUGGCUGAAUUUUAGUAUUUUAUGGUUGGAAUGAUCCGGGCAUUUCUGAUAGCAUUAAACGUGUCACGUGGUUCCUGGCGGGUGGUGGACGUUAUCCCAGGGAAUGGAGAUGUUCUGUGAAGUUUGGUGAUUGGACCCUCAAAAUGUGAAUGCGAAUAUUGUAUAGAAAUGACCUAAAGAGACUUUUAGGAAAGUUUCUUAGGUAUAAACAAGCUUUUAUUUUAUAAACCAAAGAGGGCAGCUCCUGAAAAGCUUCCAUGUUUCUGUUUUAGAGAGAGAGAAAGGGCAUUCUGGAUGUUUGUGUUUAUUAACCAAUGUAUGUUUGGGAAUCUGUGUUCCAUAAAUGGAAGCUGUUUCUCUGUCAAUGUUGAUCUGUCAUUUAUAUUCACCUAGGCCUUGAUUUUAGUUAGGAGAUGGUGUUUCCCAGACCAUCACAAAGGUCUGGGAAGACACAAAACCUACCCCUGACCUAUUAUCCCCUCCAUUU